UACAGAGGUCCCAAGCGUUGUUCGGAUUCAUUGGGCGUAAAGGGUGCGUAGGCGGCGCGGUAAGUCGGGUGUGAAAUCUCGGAGCUUAACUCCGAAACUGCAUUCGAUACUGCCGUGCUUGAGGACUGGAGAGGAGACUGGAAUUUACGGUGUAGCGGUGAAAUGCGUAGAGAUCGGAAAGAACACCAACGGCGAAAGCACUCUGCUGGGCCGACACUGACACUGAGAGACGAAAGCUAGGGGAGCGAACGGG
rnacentral:rRNA from 1 species